rnacentral:lncRNA from 1 species
AGGCUCUGUCUUCAGGGAUGACAUCAUCGGCUCACGCCAGUCUUCCAGGACCACCUUCUGGAUGCCAAGGCUGCUGCUCGAGUACCUGCUGUGCACCUCUACCUCCUGGUACCCCAGCCACGCCCUCAAGUUGCCUGCAUGUUUAUGGCCUAGCCAAGGAGCAUGGAUUCCAGGAACCCACUACCAUACAGAGCAACUCCUUGUGGACUCCCCCUGGGAUCAGGACAGCGAGGGACAAGCGACAAAGAGGAUCAUCAGUGGCCAGCUAGUCUCUCUGGGGUUCAAACCUUGAACCAGUGCCCUAGUGAGGGGGCACUGGCCAUGGCCCUUGACCUUUGCUCUGCUUGUGUCUUGAGUCUGAGUCCUUUCCUGUACAUCUGUGCUUGUGUUCAUCUGCUAGUGAACUGGAGUGCUGCCCUCCCCGAGGAGGGUCGUCCCUUGUGACUGAUCAUGCUGUCCUAACAAUGUCCUGAGCAAAAGGGUCCCUUUGGGAACCUCUCAGGAGGGGGACCCGGGUCAGGGGCGACCAGCAUCUUGCUGGCAACUCCGUGGGUGGGGUGGGGUGGGGUGCUUCCUUCUGGAAUGAGCACGUGGCUGACCCCCAAAGGCAUGUCCCCUCCCCCUCCUCCACCCACCUUCUCGGAGAUGUCCCUUUUGGGGUAGUGGGGACAUUAGGAGCAACCUCCUAGGGUUGUUGUGAGAAUUAAAUGAACUGCAGCAGCCUGAGGCAGGGCUGGGCAGAGACCUCA